UCAAAGAAGAAGAACUGGUCGCGCAAACGAUUGAUUUUGCCGUCUCCACUCAUUCGGGAGCUACAUUAUUGCAAGAAUAGCACAGUGUAGUCUCUUUAGCUAUUGCCUUGGUUGAACGGUUUUAGCAUUGUUUGCAUGGACGUAAUGUUUGCUUCCUGUUACUUUCCGCCAAUGGCGUUUUAGUUUAGAUUGGUAAAUUAGGCUAAAUGUUCCGUGUAUGAAGACAGCAGACUACUUUCGUGGCUCAAUUGGAAGAUAUAUUGUUUUCAUAAAUACGUCAACAUGUCAAGCGAGCAGGUGUUCAGCUGGACUGUAGUAGUCCUGACCUGUCAACAUAAAGAUAGCGUUUACGCCUUUCAAAGAGAGCUGGAGGUCCGGCAGCAGCGUGGAGGUCUCUUACAGGGGACGUUACUGCUCACUGUGUCAGACCCCCAGGAGCCUGGACUGGGCAGUGGGGGAGCCACUCUCAAUGCACUGCUGGUGGCAGCCGAGCACCUGAGUGCCAGAGCUGGAUACACUGUUGUUACCGCGGAUGUCCUUGACGAUGCCCAUAUCCUGAUCUUGCACACGGGACGUGACUUUCCCUGGGAUAGCUGUGGCAGGGCCUUCUGCUGGCUACCUGUGGAAAAGCCAGCUCAGACUGUGCAGGGACCUGUCUGCUGCCUGGAUAUGCUGCUUGACUGCCUUUCCAAUCAGGUGUGCCCUGGUUCUCCCCCGGGUGUUUGGGUGUGCAGCACUGACAUGAUCCUGACCAUGCCGACUACCUUCAAAAUGUCAUGGGAGGGUUUUUCUGGGGUCCGUGUGUUGGCACUACCUGGUGAUGUCUCUUACGCCGCCAAUCAUGGAGUCUACUUUGCUGAUGAGCAGGGUAGAGUACGUGACAUCAUCUACAAGGGGUCAGAGGAGCGGAUUCGCCGAGCCGCACAGCCUGAUGGGAUGGUGCCACUGGUGUCAGGGCCUGUGUUCUUCUGCAGGAGGGUACUCGAGCGAUUGCUGAAGGCCCAUGUUACCCCUCCCCUUGACGGCUGCACGUACAUGGGCAUGGACUCUGGGGCACCACCCAUUCAGAUCUCACUCUUCCUGGAUUUGUUGAUGUGUCUUUGCUCAGACGUGAGUGAGUCAGAGUUUGUGAAUGGGGAGAGGGCGGGCUGCAGUUCCCCCAUCAGUCAACAGGGAGCAGUAGUGAGGAGCGCACGGGCCUUGCUAUGGAGGAUACUGAGAGGCACUACUCUCCAUAUGGUUUACGUUCCUGGCGGUUGCUACGACUACCUGACUCUGUCCGGUAGAGAGCACAUUGGCCGCCUGACAAAGAAGGGGACAGAGAGAGACACUUUGUCACACAUACAGAAUACUCAGUGUGUGAGUGAUGGAGGCAGGGUGAUCAACAGUGUUCUGGAGGGGGACGUCAGUGUUGCGUCAGGAGCAGUUAUCCAGCACUGCCACCUUCAGGGACCAGUGGAUGUGCAUUCAGGUUGUUUACUCUCAGGCCUGGAAGUGACCUCAUCUUCGCACAUCCAGCAGCUGGCCUUAACCAAUGACCACAUCAUCCAAGGGCACCACAUACAACUGGGAGAGAUGAAGAUUACUGUUUAUACAGUGCUGGGGGCUUACGAUGAUCUUAAGGUUUCCUGCGAUGACGAUGGUGCCACCUUUCUGAAUCACAGAUGGAGUGACCUCUACAGCCGCACUGGAAUACAGCCUGAGGAUCUGUGGGGGUCCGGGAGGUCCCAGUCACUCAUGGAGGCCCGCCUGUUCCCAGUCUUCCAGCCGCGGGGUGGUGCGGUGGGGCUGGAGGUGGGGGUGUGCUGGCUGUUGGGUGGGCCGGGGGCACUGGAGCAGUGGAGGGCCGUGUGGAGGCUCUCUCUCCGAGAGGUCCUUUCCCUUACUGACCAGGAGGGGGAGCUGCGCUGGAGGGAGGCGCUAUUCUUCCAGGUGGGGAGGAGGAGAGUGAUGGAUAACUUGAAGAGCCAGAGCGAUCGUGGGUUGUUGCCCAGCUUCAGGGCUGCCGUGCUUGGAGGCCAGCAUGAGGAGCUCCUCUGCACACUAGACUCCAUUGCAGCGGGCAGCGGGGAGAACCUGGGAGUGGCGGCCCGCUGCCUGGCCUGUAUAGCUGACGUGUUGGCCUGCCUGGCCGGGGAGGGCCGAGGGGGGCUGAGGAGCGGGCCGGCUGCUAACCCUGCCUGGAGCCAUGCCUUCUCCAUCCUGGAGCAGGGAGACCUGCUGGGUGGCGUCCAGGCCCUGGCCACCGAGAGAGCCAAGUGGCUCAGCAGGCCAGACUUGCUGGUGCGUGCUGCACGGCACUAUGAGGCGGCCGGGCAGGUGCUGUUACGACAGGCUGUGAUGUUAUCACAGAGAUUUAUCUACAUUGGUCAAGGUGAGGUCCCGCCCCUUGGGGAAUGGCAAGAUGUGGAGUGUCCUGCCAGACUGGACCUCUCAGGUGGCUGGAGCGACACUCCGCCCAUUGCCUUUGAACAUGGCGGCGCAGUGGUCAACGUGGCAGUGAAGGUCGACGGGAGACGUCCCAUCGGUGCCCGAGCUCGUCGCAUCAAAGAGCCCCGUCUGCUAUUGGUCAGUUCCAGCGGAGUGCAGGAUGAUGCUAUCGCCAUGGAGACAGUUUGCGAGAGGCUGGAGGAUCUGAAAGACCACUGUGUGCCAUAUGCACCUGCUGCCCUGUUGAAGGCAGUGUGUGUAUGCAGCGGCCUGGUUACCUAUCCCUCUCGGCAGUCCCUGGAUGAGCAGCUCCUGCAGCGCUGGGGCGGAGGGGUGGAGAUCCACACCUGGUCCCUCCUGCCGCACGGUUCAGGACUGGGUACCAGUAGUAUCUUGGCGGGAGCGGUGCUGGCAGCCGUCUAUAGAUGCACGGGGCGAACCUACGACACAGACUCUCUCAUUCACGCUGUUCUCCACCUGGAGCAGAUGCUGACCACUGGUGGUGGUUGGCAGGACCAGGUCGGAGGCUUGGUGGGGGGAGUAAAGGUGGCGCGCUCCAAAGCCUGUCUCCCCCUCCGGGUGGAAGUGGAACGUCUCCCUCUCUCCGACGACUUUCUGCUCUCACUGCAACAGCACCUCCUGCUGGUCUACACCGGCAAGACUCGGCUUGCACGAAACUUGCUGCAGCUACUUAGAGGAAUAGCCAAGGAGAGGAAGCAACUUCAGACUACUGAGCUGUACCCCUGGUGCAGUUUGAAGGAUGUUGGGUGUCUCGUCACUAAAAUGGCAGCCAUGUUAUUGUGCAGGACACGGUGCGGCGCUGGUAUAGCCGUGUGCCCUCCAUCGUGGAGAACGCCGGGCAGCUAGUGGACAACGCAGAAGAGUGUGCCCGCGCCUGUACAGAAGGCUCUCUCCCCAGGCUGGGGGCUUGUCUGGAGCGUUACUGGGGCCAGAAGAAGGUGAUGGCUCCGGGGUGUGAGCCGGCAGCUGUGCGGACCAUGAUGGAUGCCCUGCGCCCGCUGGCCCUGGGACAGACUCUGGCUGGGGCGGGCGGAGGGGGCUUCCUCUACCUGCUGACCCGCCAGCCACAGCAGGGGGAGGCAGUGCGUCAGGUCCUCAACAACACACAAGGCCUUCGAGACUUCAGUGUCCAUCCAGUUGAGCUGGACAUGGACGGCAUCUCACUGCUGAAGUCUUCUUGAGACACAGAUGGACGUCUGGACCCUAAGCCAUUUUUAUACACAUUUCUAACUUUUAUGAUCUAUUGGGGGACGGUUAGUGUUAGGACAUAUCACAAGAGGUUGGUGGUACCAUAAUUGUGGAGGACGGGCUCGUGCUAAUGGCUGGAGAAGAAUGAAUGGAAUGGUAUUAAAUACAUCAGACACAUGGUUUCCAGGUGCUUGAUGCCAUUCCAUUUGCUCCCUUCCAGACAUUAUUAUAAGCCGCUCCCCUCAGCAGCCUCCACUGGGACAUGUACACCUUUCAAACCGAGACAUUAUUCUGCCAACUUUAUGCCGACUUCUCUCUUUAUAAGAAAGGUAUUGCCCGCGAGACAAAGCCCAUAUGUUUAUUUCCGCCAACCGACCUAGUCAUGAUUACGGUAAAGGUCUGCCUACGGCUUAGAAUGAAAUGUAGCCAUAAAAUCCUGAGGCGGCAUUGGCACGCACUCCGCUCUUAAGCUCUUGAUGGUUGCUAGACAGCGGCCGUUACUACUAUCAUCCUGGCAGUUAGAAACUUUGCGAGGCAUGUCACUUCACCCAUCAUGCACUAUUUCCUUAACCACAACAGUGGAAACAAAUAUCACUGAAUGAUGAAAAUAUUGGAAUAAAGUAGGCUAAUGCAAUUGAAGGCAUCAAAUUAUUGUUUACUUAAACUCGCAAAAUCAUCCAAUUGUUAUAAUAGGCCUACAUUUGAUUUGAGGUGAGUGCUGCUCAUGAUCAUCUUGUCAAGUGGGCUCAUUUAUUAGCACUGAUCACACGCAGUAGGAACACGAGACUCCAAUGCUUUUGAAAAUAUAGAUUGCUAUUUUCUAUCGGUGUCGUGAUGAAGAUACUAUCAAUGUAAUAUCCUACGCCUGCUCCCUAACAAAGCAGAGUGAGGGUUGGAAAGAGGUGACACGUAGAUUUAAAAAAAAUAAUAAUCAGGUUUAAUUUGGGCUCUGAUAAAUCUUUUUAUGUUGCCAUGAUGCAGGUUGUGUGGGAUAUUCUUUGUAUUUUAUUCUAUUGUUUCAUUCUUAGCCUACUAUCAAAUGUGUGACUGUGUCUUUUCUGUUUAAUAAACAAUACAUAUACAUGCGCAUGCUACAACCAUAGAGGCUGCACAGACCAGUAACAUAAUUCAACUCAAAAUAUGAAAUUCUAUCCUUUUGAAAAUAUUUUUUAUUAGUCUUAUGGUUCUUAGGAUCUGCCUAAACAAAUGAAUAAUGGAUUUUUGUUGUGGUGUAUAUUCAAUGGAAUUAUGAAAAUAGACAACCACCCACAUCUGCACACCACUACAACCACUCGCGCACGGGAGGUAUAAAAGGCGUAUGCAGGCAACAAUGGGCCUGUUUGGGGGUCAUAUAAACAUUGGGAGAAAACAAUUUACCAGGCAAAAUACUGUAACAGUGGUGUAAAGUAUUAAGUAGUUUUGGGGGUAUCUGUACUUCCCUAUUUACAUUUUUGACAACUUUUACUACACUACAUUCCUAAAGAAAAGUAUGUACUUUUUACUCAUAUUUUCCCUGACACCCAAAAGUACUCGGUACAUUUUGAAUGCUUAGCAGGACAGGAAGAUUCACACACUUAUCAAGCAAACAUCCCUGGUCAACCCUACUUCCUUUGAUCUGGCGGACUCACGAAACAGUGUUCGCCACGGGCACAAAACGGUUCAAAUUCUACUACUAAUGGACAUUGUCAAGGGAUACCCUUUCACACUCAAUCCCUCAGGUGGCAGCGACCGGGUCCAGAUGUUGAGCUUGGUUGAUUGGCACACAUUGGUGCUGCCAAUUAGGGUGAUCGUCAGUCAGCGUCUCAGCUUGUAAGCUGAGGCUGCUGGUUCGUUUGGACAUGCCUGCUGGUGGUUUCCUUUUUGUACAUGUGUUUCGUCACCAUCUGAACAAAUAAAAAUCCGCUUGGAUGGCCAACCAAGAGGUCAAGAGACAGAGCCGGCCCUGGACCAAGGCAAGUUUGCGGUCUCCCUUUGCAACAUCUCGGCACAUACGUUGAUUUCUCACAAAUGCACACAUUCAUGUUACAGGACCCCUAGACAAAGCUUGUGCAACAAUAUCUGUAGGCUAGUUAUGGGUUUCGUCACACUACUAACUGCUACUUUCCCAUGCAACAAGAUCAACACACUUGAUCAAAAUGUUUAAUAUGGUAUUUAUGCGAGGUUCUUACUGUGUUUUGAUAUGGGAAUAUUUGUCUAUAGAAAUGUUUGAAAAAUGAUCCUAACACCAAAGAUUUGGCUUGUUAAAUGUAGGAGCCUCCUGUUAACAAAAAGGCUGUGGUAAGAGAUUGUAGCCUUGAUGUAUUUGCAGUGUACAAUAUAAUUGUAAGGGAAAUGAGCCAUUAAUAACAUACUACUUGAAUGAAGAUGAACCAUAACUUGUUUCGAGACUAAAAUACAUGAAAUCCAGCUCUGCAA